ACGUCGUCCGUUGCUUGACCCGUCUAGUAACACGGACCAAGGAGUCUGGCUCGCGCGCGAGUGCCGAGGGUUGUUCACGAAUGUACGAUCCAUCGUCGGUGUUAUCGCCGAAGACAACAUGCACACACCCUUGCGCGAAGUGAAAGCGGGAAGUUAGAAUGCAAAAACAUAACAUCCAUCCGAUUCGCGUCCCCCCGGACGCGAUGAGGUGAGAAUUCCGUAGCGCGCGGGUCGGUACCCGAAAGAUGGUGAACUAUGCCCGAGCAGGGCGAAGCCGGGGGAAACUCCGGUGGAGGCUCGCAGCGAUUCUGACGUGCAAAUCGAUCGUCGAACUCGGGUAUAGGGGCGAAAGACUAAUCGAACCAUCUAGUAGCUGGUUCCCUCCGAAAUUUCCCUCAGGAUAGCUGCAACUUGAACUUUUUUUUUAAAUCGACUGCCAGUUGCAUGUGGUAGAGUGAAUGAUUAGGGGAAUCGCCCGGACCGGGCGUCAAAACCUCGGCCCGGGCGGGUCACGGGGACCUGAGCUGUCCUCGUCCCAUUCUCAAACUUCGAACGCGUGCGAUGGGACGGGGGUCGGCGGCGGCCGCGGCACUCGCUGCCGCAGCCCCCUCCGAUCCUCCCACCCCUGGAAUGGCUUACAGUUGCUAGUGGGCCAGCCCGGGUAAGCUGGGCUGGCGAUGCGGGAUGAACCGAACGUCGCGUUAAAGUGCCCAACUCCCCGCUCUCAGAUCCCACAAAAGGUGUCGGUUCAUAGUCACAGCAGGACGGUGGCCACGGAAGUCGGAAUCCGCUAAGGAGUGUGUAACAACUCACCUGCCGAAUGAACCGGCCCUGAAAAUGGAUGGCGCUCAAGCGGGGGACUUAUACGUCGACCAUCACCCCGUCCUUCCCCCCAUCGGCGGGGACGGGCGGUGAGGGGUGAUGAGUAGGAGGGCGCGGGGUUCGCGUCGAAGCGCCACGCGCAAGCGGGCGUGGAGCGCACUCCGGUGCAGAUCUUGGUGGUAGUAGCAAAUAUUCGAAAGAGAAUUACACUUCGAAGGCCGAAGCGGAGAAAGGUUCCGCGCGAACAUCAGUUGUGCGCGGGUUAGUCGAUCCUGAGAGAUAGGUUAACGUUCCGUUAUCAUUCCGGUCGCCUAUUCAUGCGCGACCGUGAUCGAAAGGGAAAGGGACUUAAAUUUCUCUACCUCGAUCCGUCCCGCAAGCGUGGCGACACUAUCCUGGCCGUAGGAGACGCCGUCGCUGGCCCGGGCGCGAGUUAUCGUCUCGCGUUAAAUACCAUAUCAUCGACCGUGCUCCCACGUAAUGUGUAUUCGAUUAUCUUACGGUGGCGAUGCCGCGUGCAAUGUGCGAAUCCUACGAACCGCAUCAAGCGGCGAAUAGCACCCGACCCCGUCUUCCCCCGUUGCCUCCUUCGGGAGGACUGCGGGGGUCGUUCGAUGGUCGGCGAUUCGCGGGUUAAAGAGUGCUUCACCUGUUCUUACGGGAACGGUGCCUACGAAGCAUCCCGAGCGCUCGCGACGGCCCUUGAAAAUCCUACGCGUCGCAAUCCAAUCCCUCCCCGCCGCUGCCUGUGCAAAUGGGCGGCGGUGGGGCGGUGUACCGGGACGGAUCCGAGUUCGUACUGAUCACCGCAUCAGGUCUCCGAGGUGAACAGCCUCUGGUCGAUAGGAUAACGCAGGUAAGGGAAGUCGGCAAAAUGGAUCCGUAACUUCGGGAUAAGGAUUGGCUCUGAAUGUGACGCCCGCAUCUCCCCCAUCCAGGGUCUCCAGCACUCCUCCGGGAGCGGCAGGGGAUCCGGGACGGAGGAUGCGGCAUGCCACAAAUUCGGAACUGGAGCGGACGAGGGGAAUCCGACUGUUUAAUUAAAACAAAGCAUCGCGACGUCGAGAGAUCGAUCUACCGCGAUGUGAUUUCUGCCCAGUGCCACGAAUGUCAAAGUGAAGAAAUUCGACCAAGCGCGGGUAAACGGCGGGAGUAACUAUGACUCUCUUAAGGUAGCCAAAUGCCUCGUCAUCUAACUAGUGACGCGCAUGAAUGGAUUAAUGAGAUUCCCACUGUCCCUACCUGCAGCCUAGCGAACCCACAGCCAAGGGAACGGGCUUGGAAAAAUCAGCGGGGAAAGAAGACCCUGUUGAGCUUGACUCUAGUCCGACGCUGCCUGGCGACUCGCAAGGUAUAGGAUAGGCGGGAGGGCGGUGGCCUAACUCGCCGCCGCUCGAAGUUGAAAUACCGCCACUUGCGACGUCGCCUCGCUCACGAUGCAUGACGCUCGAGGACGACCCGCCGGUGGACGGCCUUGAUUGGUGUGCUCCGCCGGGGGUCCGACUUCUAGAUAACCGAGCGAUCGGCGCCGGGUCUGUCCGCCAAAGGACCUUCCCGGCCGCGUCGUUCAAAAUGGGUGCCCGUCGGACAACGUCGGAUGGGGAGUUUGGCUGGGGCGGCACAUCUGUUAAACGAUAACACAGGUGUCCCAAGGUCAGCUCAGCGAGAACGGAAAUCUCGCGCAGAGCAGAAGGGCAAAAGCUGGACCUUGACCCGCGCUCCCAGUACGAGCGCGGUUCGCGAAAGCGAGGCCUACCGAUCCUUUAGCGGGCGGCCGGCGCACCCCCCUCCCUGCCUCCGGGUGCGGAGGGACGGUGUGCCGCCGCACGACCAGGAAAAUGGCCCUCCGCAAGGUGGGCUCAAUUGGUGCUAGAGGUGACAGAAAAGUUACCACAGGGAUAACUGGCUUGUGGCAGCCAAGCGUUCGUAGCGACGUUGCUUUUUGAUUCUUCGAUGUCGGCUCUUCCUAUCAUUGCGUCGCAGAAGGCGCCAAGUGUAGGAUUGUUCACCCACCAACAGGGAACGUGAGCUGGGUUUAGACCGUCGUGAGACAGGUUAGUUUUAUCCUACUGAUGACAGGGGAACGCACCACGGUGCACCAUUCGCGGGACAGCAAUCCGACUCAGUACGAGAGGAACCGUCGGUUCGGGCCUCUGGUUUACGGGACUGGUCGAUCGGCCAGCGUCCCGACGCUACCGCCCGCGGGAUUACGGCUGAACGCCUCUAAGCCGGAAUCCAGGCUGAGAUAUGUUUCGUUACGCGGACUUUGUUCUGAACGUCUCGGGGUUCAUUUGCAACGGGUACGAAGAACGGUCGUCGCCACUCCUGUGCGCGGCGCAUUUCCGUUGAAUCCAUCGCGGGGAACCGAUUCGGGUCCCCGCACGCAAUGCGCAACUGCCGCAAGUAACAUUGCUGCAGGAGCGGGAUCCCAGCAGCCGAAGGUUGUAUACGACUUCCACCACAAUUUGCGACGGGGGAUUGUAAGCACGAGAGCGGAUCCGUAUCUGCGAUCUGUUGAGAUUGCCCC
rnacentral:rRNA from 12 species